rnacentral:rRNA from 1 species
UUGCCAGCCCGCUCAGAAACUUAAAUGAAUUGACGGGGCCCGCACAAGCGGUGAGUAUGUGGUUUAAUUCGAUGCAACGCGAAGAACUUACCUGGUCUUGACAUCCCGGAGACCCUUAGGAAACUAGGGGGUGCUUCCAUCUGGAAGAAUCUGGGGACAGGUGCUGCAUGGCUGUCGUCAGCUCGUGUCGUGAGAUGUUGGGUUAAGUCCCGCAACGAGCGCAACCCUUGCCUUUAGUUGCCAGCAGUUCGGCUGGGCACUCUAAAGGGACUGCCGGUGUUAAACCGGAGGAAGGUGGGGAUGACGUCAAGUCCUCAUGGCCUUUAUGACCAGGGCUACACACGUACUACAAUGGCCGAUACAAAGGGCAGCGACACUGCGAGGUGAAGCCAAUCCCGUAAAAUCGGUCUCAGUCCGGAUUGGAGUCUGCAACUCGACUCCAUGAAGUUGGAAUCGCUAGUAAUCGUGGAUCAGCAUGCCACGGUGAAUAUGUUCCCGGGCCUU